GCUAAAUUGUGUGCAGUUUGUUUCAAUCCUUAGUGCAUUUUAUUAUUCUCACCCCUGCCCCCGCCCUCCGGUCCCCCCACCUCUAAAGCCUCGCAAGUAUCCUCAAAGUGAACUUGUGUUGGGUGGCCAAACGGACUUGUAAGUUUCCUUGCAAGUAUACAAAAGCUGCAAAAACUCAUUUCAAGGCCAUUUAAUGUAGACUUACAUGUAUCCUGUUUUCCAUUGGCUAAUAGGUUGCUAUGACAACAAAUGGACGCCACUUAACUUGCAUUGACUUGGGUUGGGUGGCCAAAGGUGGCCACUGGAGCUACAGAUGCAAGAGAUGUGACAGACUCACCUUUGAUUUCAGCUGAAUCUAGAUCAGCAGUACAAAACCCAGGGGAGGAACAAGAAAAUAGACCAGAAGUAUUGUCAUCUCCCACAGAUCUAUCAGGACGUCUGUCUCAUAUGGGAAUACAAGAAACUAUGGAUCCUCGUGGAAAACAGAUAAGUACUUUAGAAAAGAAAUCUGAAGAAGACAAGUGCCUCUGGGAACAAGAAGUGCAGAGCGUAGCUGGAGCUCAAAAUAAUUUGUUAACCACCAUCCUCAAGGUUAAUUUGGACCCCAAAAGAGAGUUUGGAGGGGACUAUCGGUCCUUAGCAGGGCUAUUUGGCAAAAAUAUGGAAGGUAUUUGGUUUUUGGCAACGGCAUCAAGUCCUAUAGAAACGUUGCUGCAAGAAUACCGGCC